CCAAAUCUUGACAUCCUCUGACCCCUCUAGAGAUAGAGUUUUCCCCUUCGGGGGACAGAGUGACAGGUGGUGCAUGGUUGUCGUCAGCUCGUGUCGUGAGAUGUUGGGUUAAGUCCCGCAACGAGCGCAACCCUUAAGCUUAGUUGCCAUCAUUAAGUUGGGCACUCUAAGUUGACUGCCGGUGGCAAACCGGAGGAAGGUGGGGAUGACGUCAAAUCAUCAUGCCCCUUAUGAUUUGGGCUACACACGUGCUACAAUGGACAAUACAAAGGGUAGCGAAACCGCGAGGUCAAGCAAAUCCCAUAAAGUUGUUCUCAGUUCGGAUUGUAGGCUGCAACUCGCCUACAUGAAGCCGGAAUCGCUAGUUAUCGCGGAUCAGCACGCCGCGGUGAAUACGUUCCC
rnacentral:rRNA from 1 species